UAGAGUUUGAUCCUGGCUCAGGAUGAACGCUGGCGGCGUGCCUAACACAUGCAAGUCGAGCGAUGAAGUUCCUUCGGGAAUGGAUUAGCGGCGGACGGGUGAGUAACACGUGGGCAACCUGCCUCAAAGUGGGGGAUAGCCUCCCGAAAGGGAGAUUAAUACCGCAUAACAUUAUCUCUUUGCAUGAAGAGAUAAUCAAAGGAGUAAUCCGCUUUGAGAUGGGCCCGCGGCGCAUUAGCUAGUUGGUGAGGUAACGGCUCACCAAGGCGACGAUGCGUAGCCGACCUGAGAGGGUGAUCGGCCACAUUGGAACUGAGAUACGGUCCAGACUCCUACGGGAGGCAGCAGUGGGGAAUAUUGCGCAAUGGGGGAAACCCUGACGCAGCAACGCCGCGUGAGUGAUGAAGGUCUUCGGAUUGUAAAACUCUGUCUUUGGGGACGAUAAUGACGGUACCCAAGGAGGAAGCCACGGCUAACUACGUGCCAGCAGCCGCGGUAAUACGUAGGUGGCAAGCGUUGUCCGGAUUUACUGGGCGUAAAGAGUAUGUAGGCGGACAUUUAAGUCAGAUGUGAAAUCCCCGGGCUUAACCUGGGAGCUGCAUUUGAUACUGGGUGUCUAGAGUGUAGGAGAGGAAAGUGGAAUUCCUAGUGUAGCGGUGAAAUGCGUAGAGAUUAGGAAGAACACCAGUGGCGAAGGCGACUUUCUGGACUAUAACUGACGCUGAGAUACGAAAGCGUGGGGAGCAAACAGGAUUAGAUACCCUGGUAGUCCACGCCGUANACGAUGAAUACUAGGUGUCGGGGGGUACCACCCUCGGUGCC
rnacentral:rRNA from 1 species